rnacentral:rRNA from 1 species
AGCCUACGAUCAGUAGGGGUUCUGAGAGGAAGGUCCCCCACAUUGGAACUGAGACACGGUCCAAACUCCUACGGGAGGCAGCAGUGAGGAAUAUUGGUCAAUGGACGAGAGUCUGAACCAGCCAAGUAGCGUGCAGGAUGACGGCCUAUGGGUUGUAAACUGCUUUUGCGCGGGGAUAGGUACCGCGCGAAUAAGGACCGGCUAAUUCCGUGCCAGCAGCCGCGGUAAUACGGAAGGUCCGGGCGUUAUCCGGAUUUAUUGGGUUUAAAGGGAGCGUAGGCCGUGAGGUAAGCGUGUUGUGAAAUGUAGGCGCCCAACGUCUGCACUGCAGCGCGAACUGCCCCACUUGAGUGCGCGCAACGCCGGCGGAACUCGUCGUGUAGCGGUGAAAUGCUUAGAUAUGACGAAGAACCCCGAUUGCGAAGGCAGCUGGCGGGAGCGUAACUGACGCUGAAGCUCGAAAGCGCGGGUAUCGAACAGGAUUAGAUACCCUGGUAGUCCGCGCGGUAAACGAUGGAUGCCCGCUGUGGGCGCGGCU